AUUGAACGCUGGCGGCAGGCCUAACACAUGCAAGUCGAGCGGCAGCGGGAAAGUAGCUUGCUACUUUUGCCGGCGAGCGGCGGACGGGUGAGUAAUGCCCGGGGAUCUGCCCAGUCGAGGGGGAUAACUACUGGAAACGGUAGCUAAUACCGCAUAAGCCCUAAGGGGGAAAGCAGGGGACCUUCGGGCCUUGCGCGAUUGGAUGAACCCAGGUGGGAUUAGCUAGUUGGUGAGGUAAUGGCUCACCAAGGCGACGAUCCCUAGCUGGUCUGAGAGGAUGAUCAGCCACACUGGAACUGAGACACGGUCCAGACUCCUACGGGAGGCAGCAGUGGGGAAUAUUGCACAAUGGGGGAAACCCUGAUGCAGCCACGCCGCGUGUGUGAAGAAGGCCUUCGGGUUGUAAAGCACUUUCAGCGAGGAGGAAAGGUUGGUAGCUAAUAACUGCCAGCUGUGACGUUACUCGCAGAAGAAGCACCGGCUAACUCCGUGCCAGCCGCCGCAGUAACAC
rnacentral:rRNA from 1 species